CAACGGGAAACCGUUGCUAAUACCGGAUAACCCCUGCAGAUCGCAUGAUCAACAGGGCAAAGCUCCGACGGUCUGGGAUCGGCCCGCGGCCUAUCAGCUUGUUGGUGGGGUAAAGGCCUACCAAGGCGAUGACGGGUAGCUGGCGUGAGAGCGUGGCCAGCCGCACUGGGACUGAGACACGGCCCAGACUCCUACGGGAGGCAGCAGUAGGGAAUCUUGCGCAAUGGGCGAAAGCCUGACGCAGCGACGCCGCGUGAGGGAUGACGGCCUUCGGGUUGUAAACCUCUUUCAGCGGGGACGAAGCCUUCGGGUGACGGUACCCGCAGAAGAAGGUCCGGCCAACUACGUGCCAGCAGCCGCGGUAAUACGUAGGGACCGAGCGUUGUCCGGAUUUAUUGGGCGUAAAGCGCGCGUAGGCGGUUAUCCACGUCGGAUGUGAAAGCUCGGGGCUCAACCCUGAGAGGCCAUUCGAUACGAGAUGACUAGAGGCAGGUAGGGGAGAGUGGAAUUCCUGGUGUAGCGGUGAAAUGCGCAGAUAUCAGGAGGAACACCGGUGGCGAAGGCGGCUCUCUGGGCCUUGCCUGACGCUGAGGCGCGAAAGCUGGGGGAGCGAACAGGAUUAGAUACCCUGGUAGUCCCAGCCGUAAACGUUGGGUGCUAGGUGUGGGGCGGUCUUCAACCCGCUCCGUGCCGAAGCUAACGCAUUAAGCACCCCGCCUGGGGAGUACGGCCGCAAGGCUAAAACUCAAAGGAAUUGACGGAAUCGA
rnacentral:rRNA from 1 species